GUACCACGGUCCGGCAUCAAUUCCGUAGUGCAUUGCAGUGUAGAACGUUACAAGCACGACUGCAAGCAUUGUGGGAGUGAAGCCGUCCGAUGGAAUCAGCAA
rnacentral:pre_miRNA from 1 species